GCAAAGAAUUCCCAGUCCUCCCGAAAUGGUAGACCGCUUCAGCCUGAGAUUUUUUUUUUUUUUUCCACCUUCUAGAAGCUGCCAUGGCUCCAGCAGACUUGCAAAGGGAAACGGACAGGAUAUGUGCCAGAGUGAGCAGCCAGCUUAUUAUUUCAAAGCGCUCCCUCCUUUGAGAUUCUGUCCUCCUCGCCAGUCCCCACUGGACUUAGAGCUGGAAGACCUGGAUUUGAGAUCCAGCCACACUGCUUACUAAGACUGUGUGACCUUAGGAGAAAGUCUUGACUUCAGAAGGGCAGAGAGUGUCAGACUAUCAUCUGUGUAGCAUGGAAGAUGCCUGGGCCCAUGGCCUACACUCCCACAGAUGCUGACGCCAAAUGCCAGGGAACAGAGGCAGGAAAAAGAGAUGAAAACAGGAAGCCUUGAAGAAUGGAAGCAGAGACGAAGGCCAUGUUUCCCCACCCCCACCCCCAUCCUUUUCUCCUCCCCUGCCUUUUUUU